GUCCAAGUAGUUUAUGAAAAUUUAGACUUGUGGCGUCUAAGAUGUGUGCCAGCACUUUGGACA
rnacentral:tRNA from 1 species